rnacentral:lncRNA from 1 species
CCCCCGCCCUCUCUGCUCCACCGGGGUCUAGGGAGGACCCCUGGGAAGGGCUCCACAAGCCUCCAGCCCCCGCCUCCGCGGCAGGGCUCCAAGUGUCCACUAGAGGGGGCUGCCGUGGCAGAAAAGCUUGCCGCAGAGUGGGUGCCUGGGGCAUCAGGCUGGCGGGGUGGUCCCAGCCUUGGGGUCCCUGGCAGGAGAACUAGGGGGACAGCUGGACCACUGGCCAGUGGGAAGACUGGCAAGAGCUCUUUGUCCUGGUGGGGACAAAGAUGGGGGGGUGGGGAGGUCUCGUCUGGGUCCAGGCUCUGUGUAUUGUCUGGGGGGCUGUCAAGCUUGGUUCCUCCGGCCCUGGGGGGUCCUGGUCAGUGUCCAGCUGCUUCUGCCCAGCAUGGAUCCAGGCCAGGGCCCCCUCGGCAGUCAGCAGCGAGGAAGCCACCUCCCCAGGGCCAGGACCUUUUCAGACCACCCCCAGCCAUCCGUGGGUCGGGACCAUGUCCCAGGAGACUACGGAGCCUGUACCCGGGCCUGGGCCUCUGCUGUUGUGAAGACCUGCCCCCUGCCGACGUCUCACCUCCUCCAGCAGGUUCACCCUGGACUGCCUGCCCC